rnacentral:rRNA from 1 species
GGAAUUUUGCGCAAUGGGCGAAAGCCUGACGCAGCAACGCCGCGUGUGUGAUGAAGGUCUUUGGAUUGUAAAGCACUUUCGACCGGGACGAAAACCCCGAGGCCAAUACCCUCGGGCUUGACUGUACCGGGAGAAGAAGCACCGGCUAACUCUGUGCCAGCCGCCGCGGUAAUACAGAGGGUGCAAGCGUUGUUCGGAAUUAUUGGGCGUAAAGCGCGCGUAGGCGGCUUUGCAAGUCGGGUGUGAAAGCCCUCGGCUCAACCGAGGAAGUGCACCCGAAACUGCAGAGCUUGAGUGCCGGAGAGGGUGGCGGAAUUCCCCAAGUAGAGGUGAAAUUCGUAGAUAUGGGGGGGAACACCGGUGGCGAAGGCGGCCACCUGGACGGUAACUGACGCUGAGGCGCGAAAGCGUGGGGAGC